UUGACCAGGGGAGAAUUCUUCCAACUGGACUCUAUGGAUGGACUGCAUAACUUUUUGAAUAAACAGUUUUUUGGGGGGAUAGAGAAUGCAAUCUGGAAAUUGUCCCAGUAUCACUUAGCUGAUGUUUAUUAAAAUACAUUUAAGUGUAUUGAUUCACUAAUGUGUUUAUUGCAUUUAUUUUGCCUCGAGGGAGCUUUUCACAUCCUCAUUUAAGUUUUCUUUCCUUUUCCUUUACAUAAGCUUCUCAUAAGCUUGGUUUUCUGGCUUCUUUUGAAUUUAUAGGAAGUAUUAAGGGAUGGGAAGAUGUUAAUAAACUCAAUGUUUAAGGAAGGAGGGAGAAAAACCUAUGAAAAGCAAGAGCCUUCAAUAUUAAAAAGCUCCAUGUUGUGGGACUGUUUAGUAUAGGGAAAGAGCCGUCCUUAUAAGGCCCAGAAAGCAUUGCAUCAACAGCCUCGUACAUCAUGCAUUCUUUCUUUGAUUCAUUCAGUAGAUCUUGGUUAUCUUUUGAAUGUCAGGAGCCAGCAGUCCAUCAGUAAAUGGAACAGACUCUGCUAAUUUGUAGUCUUUUUUUUUUUUGCUUGGAAAUUGAACUCAGGACCUUGUGCUUGUCAAGGCAGGUGCUUUGCUGCUCAGCCACAUCCUCAGCCUUGUAGUCGUUUUUAGUAUGGGUUGGAGGAAGAGAAGGACCAGCCCCAAGCCAGCAAGUGAAUAAUAAAAAAAGUUACAAAUUUGCUAUAAAAUAAAUCAGGAGCUGAGAAAAUCUAUAAUGGAGAUAUGAAAGGGGGGGUACUUGGCUUAUCAAGAAAAAAAACCAGACAUGUGUAGCCUCUUUACCUGAACUAGACUGUAACUGCACCGAGUGGGGCUGGGUCUGUUUCCUGGCUGUGGAGCCCCAGGACCAGCCCAUCACCUGGCAGUAGUUUAGUGUGCAGUGAAUACUGGCAGGAUGUGUAGCCCCUUUGCAGCAGAGGGUACAGCUGUGCAAGUCACUCAAGAAGGAGUUUCAAAUGCGAACUUACCAUUUUAAGCAUUUUUAAAUGGUGCUUUAAGAUAAUAUAUAUUCAUUUAUCUGGAGAAUUUAGGUGAAGCAUAGUGUUUCCUUGCAACUGAGAAUAAAUCAGCUAGUUGUGCUGUAUAGCCACAACUUCAUAGAACUAAAGCAAGGCCCUUCCGGAACAGGAGUUGGGGAGGAGAGACAUCUGGCUGCCUCACAGGGGGAAGGAUGGGAGGAAGAAGGUAAGCACAGGAUGUGUGUGUUCUACCUGCUCUUCUUUCCGACUCUGGUCUAUAGGAAAGCUCGUGGACCUCCUGAGUGUGUGGAGGGGGUCUUAGGUGGAGCCUGGGGUUUUCUGAAGCCACUGGGGGCCUUGACACCCCCAGGCUCAUGGGCGUAUGCAUCCUUAGGAAUGGGUGAUCAGCCAGGCUGCGGAAUGGAAAUGUGUCCAGCAACAUUAAAGCCAAAGCACAAACAUCUCUGACUCUUGGAAAUCUGGCUGUUGAUGGGGAGGGCCAUGAAGGGGACACCAUUGUCACUUACUGCCAGACUCUUGAGAAUUGUCUGGAUGAUGAGGGUUAAUGAUGAAUGGUUCUGUAGUUUCAAAUCAGACAGACUAAGCUUGAAUCCAGAUGUCUGUGUUUGCCAUUAACAUUGCGAUGUUGGGCUUUUGAUUUAACUGUCCUGAACCUUGUUUCUUAUCAGUUAAUUAGGGCUAUAAUUUAAUUUAUGGGGGGGGAUGAGAAUGAAAAGAGACAGGUUUGGCCAGUGUCUGGCACAUGGGUGCUCAAUGAUGAUUCCCUCCUCCCUGGUGAACGUCGGAAUUGUUGACUUCCAGGGACGCGACCUCAAUAAACUCUCUACCUUUAUCUGUGCAGAACACUUCCUCAUGCCAAAUAGAUAGACUCAGCUUUUAAGGGACUAGUUUCAGAGUUACUCUUGGUCUCUGUACCUCACUCUACAGUCAUCAGCUCUCUGACAAAUUCUGCAUCUAAGAUCCUGUUAGAUUUAACCCAGCUGGAACUGCUUGGGGGGAGGCCAAUGGGAGGAAUUGGCUUUUUCUCCUCUUAUGCUAAUGAAGUGAAUAUGGCAAGGAGUCACAAUAUUUUCUUUCCAGGCAAAGAAAUGUUGUACUAGGAGAAACAGCAUGCAGGGGAAGCAAAUGUGAUCUUGCUGGAUUCUCUCGAGGGAGGAACGGAACAAACUGUCAGCUUCUGUUGAGAAGAUAAUGCUCUCACUAUGAUAAAUGCCAAGUUUCUGUGGGAAGCCACCAUCUUCAUGGUAGCAUCCCCAAGUGUUUGGUUCAGGAAAGCAGAUCUUAUGAGAAAUGAGUUUAAAGCAAAUGAGACUGUGCAUUGAAAAUAUUCUUUGAAGGCAGCUUUAUAAAGCUAACUGCAGUGCGCCAAUGUGGUCUGCUCUUCAAACACACCUGUGGGCGACUUCUACCCUUCAUAAAUAUUUCUUGCAUAUAACUCGGAUUAAGAAGGCACAUGAGGUGGGAAAGCCACCUCAAAUAAUUUCCCUUCUCAUAGGAAGUCACCUCUAAUUCUUUUGCAAGUGAUUCAAAAGGCCUGUUGUGAUGGAAGUUUCUGUCUUCCCCAGACUUGGGUUUUACAGUUUUGUCUGUAGCAUCCUUUCUUAGUGAGGGUGUGUCUGGAUAUAUUUUAUUGAAUACUUGGAAGCACUUCCAUUUUUUUUUUUUUUUUUUUUGGUCUUUUUCAUUUUUACCGGUACCAGGGAUCGAACUCACGACCGCCUGCUUACAAGGCAGGUGCUUAUGUCGCUGAGCUAAAUCCCCAGCCCCAGCACUUCCAUUUUUAGUUUCUCUUCUGAGAGUGUUUUGUGCCAGUCUCCCUUACCUGCUUCUGCAUGUCUAGGUUGCCCCCUAGGCACAUGGCAUGUGUUCAGCUUACUUGAGGACAUUCUGUGGAGAAGUUUGGGAGCUCUCAGGAUGCUGGAGACCAUGGAGAUGGUGGAAAGCAGAGAGGAGAGAUGCCUCCAUUGGCUGUAGCUGAGGAGGCCCUGGAAUGGUGAUACUUGCCUACCAUUUGUGCAUUUGGCAGCUGAGUUCUAGAGAUGAUGAGCUGAGUGGGGUCCCUGCCCAUGUGGACCAUGGAGCAGAGGACUGGAAAAUGCUGGAAACAGAACUGCAGUGCAGUCUUGGUGUGGAAAGCACAAGGGAGGAACCUGCUAGUUGUUACUAACCGGUAGGGAUGGCAGGUGCUGUUCUGAGCUCUGUGCCCUAAUCUCCUCCCUGAGGCAGCCUUGGAAAGUGCUCAUUUGCCUUGAUGCCAGCCUGAGCACUGACCUGCAUGGAGUACUCAACAUUUAUCUCAGAUUCCUUAGAAAACCAGCAUUGCCAUUGAUGGUAGGAGGGAGCUCAGAAGUGAUUUGUCCUACGUAAGCAAUGAUAGAGGAGUUCUGCCUGUGCCCACUUUAGAAGGAAUCCAGUGAAGAUUGCCUACCUCAGUGGGCUUGAGAUAAUGAGUCUGACUUUGUUGUCAGCUGAAGAACAGAGAGGGGAGGGCUCAGUUUGAACAUCUGCCUCUGUCUUGCUCCAGUGUUAUCCACUGAGGACACACCCUAGGACUUUCCUCCCUUCUUCUUCCUCCGAUCUGUUUGUUUUUUUGCUUUGUUUUGUUUUUUGUCAUCUUACCUUGUGUAUGGAGAAGAAGCCGCUGCUAGGCUUGCUUGUUGGUCAGACCCUUGAACGAUACAGUGGACGCUGCCUUUUCAUGUUUAGAGAACCUCAGCAAAUAGAGUUAUAGUUCUGUCUCAUCAUUGCUGCCUACAUGCAUGUCAUAUGGGAUCAGCUAGUGAAGGACUUGGUAGCCCAACAAAAGGGACAAUGGUGACUUCUCAGAUGUGCGAGGACAGAAGAACAGGCAGAGUCAGUGACAAUUUGAAUAGUGUCCCAAGUCAAGUGUAUUAAUUGUAGUUAUCUUUUAAAGAGGCAACAAAAAGAAAUAGCAUAAUUCUCAUAUAUAUUGGGUCCUCCCAGUAUUCAGAGAUUAUGCAGUUGAUUAUUAUUCUUAGGCUCAUUUCAAGCACCAUGUUUGUAUGGACCAGGAAUUGACAGACUUCCAGAUAGCACAUAUUUUAGACUCUGAAGACCAUACCCUCUCUGUCCCAGCCACGCAGUUCUGCUGUUGUAGCACAAAACAUCCACAGACAAUAUGUAAAUGAAUGAGCCUGGCUGUCUUCCAGUUUUAACUUUCCUCUACAAAAACAGGCAGCAGGCUGCUUGUGGCCUGUGGGCUGUAAGUUACUGUGGAAGAUAUUCUCAGUUUCUGGCUUGAGUCUCAAAGAAAGUCAUGAUUUCAUAUAACUGAGAAUGUUGUUAGGGUCAGUCCUAAAAUUUCUUUUGGGGUGCAAGUAUACUCAUUUGGAAUAAUAGUCCUAUCAUGCUAACAUACAGCAGAACGGUCAUGUGUAAUGCUGCCUCUCCAAUCCAUUGGAAGAAUCUUUUGAAGGAGCUGUAAGUAUAAGGACUAGGGAGCUAGGGAGGUUGCUGCAGAUGCAAGCCCUUGGACGGGCAAGAGUGAUGAGGCUUGGGGUCUCACUGCUUUCUGAGCUGUGCAGCUGCUACUUCCUGGGGACGGUGCACUAGGAGGUAGUAGCAGCCGUUAGUGAAGAUCGUACCUGUGAAUACACUCCCAAAGGCUUGUUGCUGUGUAUCACUUGUCUGCCUGCAUUUCUUAACAUGAAGGAACCAAGUGGAAACUUCUUUCAGCUUCGUGCAAUGGAUCCUUAAGUGCUGACACCUGUAAGCUGGGAAUUUGGUCAUAAUAAUUUUCUGAGAAUGAGGAAGAGGACGAGGAAGAAAAUGAGGAAGAGGAAGAAGAAGGAGGAGGAGGAGGAGAAAAAGAAACAUUCUCAUGGAUUAAUUUGCACUCCUUAAGUCUGUAAAUGCGAUGACAUCAACAUGUUGAUGAAAAUGUGGAAAUUAACACUUGGAAAUUUUUAUAUAAAACCUGUAUUGAGAAUUCAGAUAAACAUUCACAUACUAAAAAGAGCUAUAUAUUUAUACCUGAAGAAACUCAAUUUGAUGCAAGCUGCUUAUUUCUCCAUUGUGGUCACGUGGGCCGAGGUCCUUAGUAUGAAAAGUAAUUUACGAAAAUUAGUCCAAGGCAGGUAGAGUGUGAAAUUAAAUUGAUGCCUUGAUUUCUGUAUUCUCUAGUAAGUAUUUCUCUGAAAAUUUGUCAUUUCUGUCCUAGGAACUUGAAAGUUUUUUUUUUUCAUUUGAACAGAGUAAAGUUCUUACUGGUUAAGGACAUGAAACAAUCUUAAUUACAGGCUAAGGAGGCAUGCUUCAUUUUGCUUUGUGGCUCAAUAUUAGAGUGAGCCCAAAUUGGGCUACCAGUAGAGGCUUUAACAUGUCUAUUAAAAAUUUCAACUUUUUGGGCCAAACCUUUUUAUUUCUUGGGCUGUGAUUAGGGCAAUUUAGGGUCCUUGAGUUGUGUAGUGCUAGAGGAACGUUUGGAGGCUGUUUUAUAAGAUGAAAAGAUUGAGACUCAGGAGUAACACAGUGAUGGUCACCAUUUCUGCGAAGACACACUGGGUCCUGGCUGGGCAUGUCUAUGCUGAUGAGUCCAAGCUGUUGCCCCUCUACAAGGGCAGUUGUCAGUAUCUGUGUCCUUGUGUCAGCCACAGUACAUGAGCAUGAGUAGAGUACAGGUAUUCUGGUUGAACUCUGGUUCUGAGAGGACAGAGAAUUGCUACAUACUCAUAGAUGGCCCCAGUGACCAGCUGAGGGCUGCAUCAGCACAGUUUAGCAGAGGCAGGGAUGAUGUGACGUGACCUUGUCAGCAGAACAUAGCCCUCCGGGAUAGGCCCAUCUGCUUGGUCCUUGGCAGUUCCGUGGCCUGCCACCAGCUAAGGAGUCAUCAAGCCACAUCUGCAGUGCCUAGGUGGGUGGUCCCCUUCCAUGAGGCCACCAUUGAUAGGCCAGGUAGAGGUGGGUCAGCCCUGCUCACUGAAUCACUUCUGUCCAAUAACUAGCAGUGGAGGUUUGGGGCACUCUGAAAAAUGAAUUAUGGGCUGUUGUGAUUUUUAUUUGUCUGGGGUGGCACGAGUGGUAUUUAUCUCUGGUCCUCACUCUUCCCACUCUCCAAGCUUUUGUCUCCAUCUGAGUCAGCAUGACAUGGUUUGAAAAUUGCCUGUUUGCCUUUUAAUGAUGAUUAAUAUCCAAAACCACAUUUCAAAUUUAGGAUCUCUUGAAGAGUUCCCGAGACUGUUACCCAGAGCAACCUGCUUUGGGAGUUGAUCUCGAAGAGCUUUUUAUGUCCCCAUUGUGAAUUUGAUUCCUCCAAACAUCUCUACCUUUCCCCCACCUCCUUUUGGCUUUCUUGGGUCUUUGGCAUGAGUGGCUGAGUGGGAGCAGAUAAGAAAGCCCCUGUCUGACAGUGACAUACCGUUUGGGACACAUUUGGGCCUUGCCAUGGGAUCUGCAGAAGGGUCACAUCUCCUUGUCCCUCCUUCCCACUCCCCAAAUCAGGGAGGCCAAGGAGGAGCUUCAUUUCCUCAACACCAGGUGCCUGUCAUCUAUCUGAAGAUAGUUGCCAACAUCUGGUACAAUUGCCUCCACAAACGCAGUAACAAGGCGGCCUGCAGUUCAGUCGCGGAGCGAGCAUCACCGCUUUAAUGAUAACAAGCUGCUGGCCUCCCCUCUGAGAUGAAUCCGUCUCACAGAUGUUUGUCUAGUUUUGGCAAUCGCAUCGCACUAUAGCUUUGGUGAUUAUGCUCAACUGGAGACUAUUACAAUAAAAGAAGUUUGAACUUGUUCCAUUUUUACAUCCCACCCCCUUCUUCCCUGUUCUGAGGUAUAAUUUAUAUCAAUGGCUGUAAUAUUGGUUCCAUUACUGAGGCCUCUUUACUUUUUAUUAUGUCGGUGGCGCGGCAGCUUAAAGCCUGGCUUCCUUCACAGGUUAAUGUGCUUUAGCUACAUCAACGCUUUUAAUGUCCUCACUUAAUGGCCCCAUGGCAGUCCUUUGCCCUCUGUUGAAGCAUGUGUUGACACUGAGAGGUCAUGUGAUUUCAUAGACUUAAUAUAUCCAGCUAUAGAUAGUUAUGGCUGUGUGCUGGGGAAGUGGGCAGGGGUCAUGUGGGAUGCGGAAGGAGAGGUUUCCCCCGUAGCUGACACCAUGAGCCCAUCCAUGGGCAUGUGGGACCUUCUAGCCUGCUGUUGGCCUUCCUCUCUUCCACGCUUCCUCCCACUUCCCCAUCCAUUCCUUCUGUUCUUCUUCCUCUCUUAUUGAGACUGUAACAAAAUAGCUAAAAGUCACACCUUGGUGGAAAGGCAUAUAGAGGAUUGUCGGGCAGUUACUGCUGCUGUGUUCAAUAUUUUGGGCUUUAAUAGUACAUAAUGAAUUAGUAUUUCAUACCACUUAAUAUUACACAGCUUUUGCCACUAUGCAGCUUAUAUAUAACAAUGGGAAGGAACCAGUGACCUAUUUGAAUCAUAUUUAGUGACAGUAAAUUCUAGGCAUUUUAGUAACAACUAUCAAUUGUAUCGUAAACAGGAACUGUCAUUAAUUGCAUCUCUGUCGUGUGCGAGCUGCUACACUGAUGAUGUAUAAAUGAUGAUGAUAUAUGAUGUGUGUCAAUGUGUCAUUCUGACAGUAUCCCUGCAAGGUAGAUGCUCCUUAUACCCAUUGUCACCAGUCAGGAAAACAAAGCUCAGGAAGGCACCUGCUCGGUGACACCAACCUGCCAAGGGACAGAGAAGAUCUGUUCAGAACUAAUGAACUCCAAAGUCAUACUCUUUCUCUGGCUGUCCUUGUCAUCAUUCUCCUAUCUGUGGUCUGAAUUGAUGUCAUGGAAAAGACCUGCCCAUCGGAGAUAUGGCGCAGUACAUAAAUCAGUGCAAGAUAAAUCACCAUCAUCACUUAACAUUUAAGCCUUUUUUUCAUUUUAAUUUGGAUAUUACUUUGUCAAAGAUGAGGAAACACAGUUUUGCCAAGGUGUUAUUUUUGUCAGAAUGCUUACGAAUGGGUGAGUCAGCCUGGCUGUGGGUGUCUCAUUGAUAGCCAGGCACCAUGUGCUCCUUUCCUUGGCCAGAAAUAGAUACUGGUCUCUGUGCUGAUGACAUGUCUGGAGGUCCCACAAACUCCACUGGGCUUCCACAAGGAACCAUGGAAACCACCUCCUCUUGACCUCUGGACAGGACCUUCACCUGUGUGGGCUUAUGUUCCACAGGAAGAGGGAAAAGUUUUCUUGAAAAGUUAGAGUGAUCUUUUGUAAUGCAUAUCAAAAUAAAAACAAGGAGGUAGCUCACAAAAAAUACUAGUUCUCAAAAAGAGCUGAAAAUGCAAAAUUUGAAAUCCAGCAGAUUAUUGAAGACUUGAUAUUAUCUUUGUUAUCCAACUUAAAGUAAAGGGCAUGCUUUCCACCUGGGUCCUAUAUAAUCGUUGAUUUUUAAAAAAUUCACCCAUGAUCUUGAGCUGCAUUUACCUUCUACGAUCCUUGGCUUGCCUACCUAUACGUUUUAGGUUGGUAGACACUGAAUGGCAUUUCGGAUCUGUUCCAUCUCUGGAGUUAAGUUCUGUUGGCUGGAACCAGCAAGUGCGGUUGCACGAUUGAAGUGUCUAUUUUAUGAUUCCACAUUGCUAGCUCCCUUCUGUGUCAAUCUGGGUUCCAAGUUGCACAGCCAGGUUAAAUCAAGUGUGAUUCACCAUUGAGGGCUGUGUGUGGAUGUGAGACUUCAUCCUCUUGACUUCCCCGCCUUAGUAGAGCUCUCCUGUGCCAGGAGUCAGCCAGAAAGUUUUCAUACCAUGUGUGUGACAUCCAAGUUCCUCGCCCUCUGCUGCCUGCCCCUCCUUGCCAAAUUAGUUCUUCUUCUGCGAUGCUGGAGCCAAACCACCAAAAUGCAGCAAAGACAUGUGGCACAGCUUUAUUCUAGUUUUUCUCUUGCAGUAGUUACAAUAUUAUUAAAAAUCCAUUAAAUUUUAAUGUACCCUAUAAAAUAUGUGCUCUUGUGAAAGCAAGCACAGAUAAUUAUUUCUGAUGAAUAAACCAAGAGGACAAGUAUGCAUGAAGUUCAUGCUGCAGCAUUCAAUUUUUAUUAUAUACAUCUCCUGCAGGGGCAAUCACUGUGAUGUUCCAGCUGGUUGUGUGGAGGGUUAGUUCUUGGAGAUCCUUUGGGGGCAACAUGAACCCUGACCUAUCUGGGAUGUUCUCAGAGCUCAUUAUUACAGGGAAGGAAAGAGCCAUGUGUAGCGGCUGACUGCCUUCUGUUGUGCUCUUUAAAUGAAAAGCUGAAGGAGAAAAUGAAUCAGGGGGAGAAGAAUGCUGUCCGUCCAGUACUCCAAGGGAGACUUGUGGGAUGAAAAGACAAACAUUUGAAGUUCUUUUGCCUAGUGACCCUCUGCCCUUGAUCCAGUGUCUUUGCUUCUGUCAGUGUUUGCCUCCUAAAUGAGGAAUAACCAUUCUAUCUGCCAAAGGGCUUAUUAAAGGAGUCUGCCUAGCUCCGAGUGGACAUUCUCACCUGUGAGUCCCCUCUUUCAUUCCCUUUCCUCUUCCUUGGAGCAUCCUCCAUAAUUCCAGAAGUUGGAGGAUGAGCUCCCUCCUCCUGGCUUCUGUCAGAUUCAUCUUGAACCCAUGCCUGUUGCUUGCUAAGUGCCUGCUCUACUACUGAGCCACUCUCCAACCCCAUGUGGGGACUCUUAAUGGAUUACUUUUGUGUCACAGCCUGUUGGGCUCUGGACCACCUCAUAUGCUCUAGAGGUGGUGGCUUCCUGUGAUUUCUGAGAGUCUGUACUUCCCAGGUGAGUGGGACUGCCUUUGCAGUGGAGAGUAAGUUGGGGUUGUUGGUCUGCUGGUCUCCUUCCUCAGGCUGCCUCUGGCCUCAAGCGCAGACAGCAGUUGUUCCUUGCUUGGAGGUGCACUGGCUUAGACUGAGGGGGAGGAGCUUGCCCAGCCUAGGACCUGACACCUGAUCUGCUUUACAGGCUGUUGAGCUCCAACUCAGGCCCCUUUUCCUUCCUGGGGCAGGGUUGGUCAUCCAGUAGGGUCUGACCCUGCUGAACGGAGGGCAUGAUUCAGAAAUAUUUGUAAAGAUUUGACAACCCAGCUCAUACAACUCUGUCUUCCCAGGGUGGCAGAGGGGGCGUUGUCCUCACAUUCUGUUACAUGGCAUGCUGGAGAGGGACCAGCAGGGUGAUAUAGGUGGAUCCCACAGUGGUACCCUGGAAUGUCACAGAAUGAAAGCUGCUGUGGAGAAUGUGCAACACUUUGCAUAGUAUGAGAUGAUCUGUAAAUAACUGAAGUUCAUUUUAAACUGUUAAAUUUUGUUUAAAAUAGAAAAAAGUAAAUACAGAAAUAAACAAAGAGCUAACACUUGCCCUCUAUUUUCAUUGACAUAAAGCAGCCUGCAGUAAUGUUUGGGUGCAACUUUGCCGUGGUAUGACUGCACAUGGUGAACGUGGCUGUGUACACUUUUACAUAAAUGGGAUCGUAUGUGGUGUUUGCCAGACAGUGUUUUCCAUUCAAUAAUGUGUCAGAGAUUUCUUUCUGUGUCAGUGGGCCCUAUUGUUUCUGUGGUACUGCAGUACCAUGAUUGACUCACUCAAACCCUUAGUUAGGAACAUUUAGGUUGUUUCCAGUAUCAUUAGGAUCAUUAUUUGGAAUUACAACCAGUGCUGUCAGGACCGCCCUCGUGAAUGCAUUUCUCUCCUGCGCCUGCUGUACUCUGACCCAGCAAUUCAUUUACAAUAAGGAGAUAAUAAUACAUUUUACAAUUUGCUAUUUAUUGCCAAACUGCCCCACAGGGAGGUUGGACUAAUUUACAUUUCUACCAGUGAAGGCGGUAUCUGAGCUUUGGUCUUUGGAUUGAUUUUUUUGUACCCAAGUUUUUCUAAAAUUUACAUUCCUCUGAAAUUUGUCGUAUGAAGCAUUAAAAAAAGAAAUACUGAAGCGUGAGGAAGCUGUUUUACCUUGACUUUUAAAUGCUUGGCUUUUAUAGGGCUUUUCCUUGAUGAUCCGAGAAGCCUUUAAUUGUUUCGGGACAGAGUUUCUGUUUCAGAUUGUCAUCUUGAAACAAAAAUGGUGCAAGAUAAAACAUUGGCGAGUGGGUGUGUUUAGUCGUGAUUUUUAGCGGGUUUUUGAUCAUUGUUCCUAGCUGCUUGCCAGUUUUGUCCUAGACAGGAUAUAACUGAAGAAAAAUAAUGAUGGCUUUUUUCUUCAUAUAAUACAUUGGCAAUUACAUGCUGCCUUGUGAAAGCAUUACCAUUGUUAUUUAAAUUUUGCAUUGCUCUUUUAAGAUAAAGGUUCAGCUUGCUACCUGUUUAUCUUUUCCCUCCAGCUUAGUGGGGACUGCAGACUGCUGCUUUUGUGUGUGUCCCUUGUGGCAGCACCAUGCACCCAGCAAAUGUAACUUUUCUCCAAUUACAAAGUUUUAGCUUUGGGAAUUCUCUGGGUAAACUUUUCUCCAUUGUGGAUGUGUUUUUGAUCUUUUGUCCAUUUUUAUUUAUUGGAUAAAAAAAUAAAUUGCUGAGCGCCUUUAAUACAGCAGGUGCUGAGGUGUCUGGUGGUGACAGUGUUCCCACCCUCAUGGGAGUUACAGACAGUGCAGAGCAGGUGGACCAUGAAUGAAUUUCUAGACAAUGUCAUCGUGCUCCAUGUGGGGUAGGGGCACAGGCCUGGGGCACACACUGCGUUCUUAUCUCCUGUCACCUUUUACAUCUGCAUUUGAUAAAAACCUUCUCCAAAGAAAGGCUUUGAGUUCCUAGAACCCCAAUUUCAAUCAUAGCCUGCACUCUUUGCAUUGGAGGGGAGGUUUCAGUUAAGCACAGCCUGGUGGAGAAGUAUUUUGGGAAGGGAUUAGGAAAAGGCAAACUGUUUCCGGCCAGUGGAAAGCAAGUGGUGCCAGAGGCCUCCAAGACCCAGGGCUUCUGAAUGCUGAAAUCACUGCUUAGGUUCAGCCAGAGGCGGGGCCACAUGACAGAGGCUUUCGAGAGCUUUGAAGGAUUCUGCUUGAGAGAGGUUCUAUGCUUCUCUUAGGUGGGACAGGUAUAAUCAGAGGCCAGUAUGCCUGGGGCGUUUGGCAGUCUUAGGGGGACAGCUGGCUAAAGUAGAGAAUGCAAGGGGACCCAGGCUCUCUCCAGCAGAUGGAUAAAGUAUAGAUCUUGUUUCCUGUGUCCUGGGGAAUAAGAUAGGCAACUUCUGUGAAGUGCCAAACACAAUAAAUAGGGGUUCAUAAAUGUUACGGUGCCUUUAAUUAUGAAAACACUGGAUGAAAAGUUAUUCAUUCCAAUUUCUCCACAUGGGCAUGCAGUGAGGUAGAAUUCCAUGUGUGAAGCUUUUCUGUGAUACCCCUAGCAAAUUUGAUGUGUUAGGAAUCUUUCAACUCUCCAAGGCAUAAACUUUUCCUUUUAAACCGGCUUUUAAUGGUUUAAGGAAGAAUAUUCCAGGAGCAAAAAUCAGCUUCCUUUAUAGAGUUCUUUAUUCUAGCCUUUUGAGCUCUCUGGAGGAACAGCUCUCCCCCACCUGCCUAUGUAUUUUGAACAUUCCUUUAAUAUAUAGGUAGAUAUUUUAUAUAUUAUAUAGACUAGAUCAGUGCAGGUGAACCUUUUAGAACUUUGAAUGAUAUAAACAACUUUCUGCAGCAUGCAUGGCAUAGUUUUGCCACCACAGAGUUAGAUACAGUGUAGAUAAAUGAAACAUACAUGUUAGAUCCAGGGUUGGAUAUAUGGCUAUGUGUCAUGACUACCUAAAGAAUUUUGGGUUUCAUUGGUUUUUGGUUGUUUUGUGUUUUGAGACAGUUUCAUUAUAUAAUUCAGGCUGGCCUUGAACCCACUGUGUGGCCUCAAAUUCUUGAUCUUCCUGCUUCAACCUCCCAGUUGCUAGAUUUACAAGCAUGUACCACUAUGCCUGGCUCUAAGAGCUUUUUAAAAAGUACAAAUAGAUGGACCUGUCUUUCGAGAUUAGUGGUAGGAGAUGUAUUUUUACAAGUCCUAAUAUAAACACAACUAAGAUUGGGAGACAUUGGUUACCUGUUUUUAUAUCCUAAAUAAAGGCAAUCACUCUUCUGGAACACACAGAAUUAACUGAACAAUAGAUAGCUGUUUCAGGCAAGCUCUUCUAAUUUUAAGUCUUAUGAUUUGUGCAAUUUCUCAUGAGUCUUGUUAUGAGGCUCCUUUGGCUCUUAACAUUCACCAUAUUGUUUUCCAAGGCAGAUGUGCCCAGCUACGUCUGCUCUUUUCACUCUGAUUUUGAAUGUCUUUCCCUUUCUCAAGUAACAACCUGUGUAUCACUCAAUAUAUAUUUGGGGCAGGCACAGACUCUGGGUAAGACAUCGGGACUCAAGAGUGUCAGAGAGUCCCAAGAGCUACACAGUGACACAGUGCCAUAGGCAUAGCCCCUAUCCUUGUAGCCAGCCAGAUCUUUCCCAGAGUAUCUGGCUCUUCCUAAAGUGCAGAGCAGUGCUUCCCAGAUCCUAGAAGGUCCUCAGUCUUACCAGACUGAUCCCUGUAGGCCUGUAGGCCUGGCCUCAGGUGACUGGGACCUUCUUGAUGCCCUUGACUGUUCUAAGGUAGCUUUGCACUUCACCCUGAUUCUGCAUGACCACCUGACACAGGGCAGUGCUGUAAGAUCCCUGGGAAUGGAGAGAUGGUUGGCUUGGAUUUUGGAAGCUUCUUGUUUUUGUUUUUUGAUGUCUGGAAAAUUAACUUCCAUUAUUUGCCCUCCCAGUAAGAGAAGGAGAAGCUGAUAGCAUCCUUUUGGAUGCUGGGAAAGCCAUUUUUGCAGGGCGGUGUUUGCACUGAUCAUCCAGUGACGUUUGCUGCCACUGUCCUUCCCAGCUGGAUGCUUUUGGAGCUUCUGUCCACUCACCCGACAUCUGGGGAGGCUGUGAUGAAGUGAGGGACCAUCUGUUAGGGACCGGAUAGCAAGGACAUCCACAGUACGCUGAAGGUUGGCCUAGAUGGCCGGCUAGGGCUUUUCAUGCCCUGCGAGCCUGCACUCCCACCUCCCUGCUACUGAUUUGGCCUCUGAUUGGGGGGAGUCGUAACUAGUGGAUCUGUUGUCCUUAUUAAAAACAAACAAACAAACAAGUGAAAACAACAGACCCCCCAGGCAAUUUACAUCCAUAUAGAUUGCUUGUACAAAAUUCCUUAGAAAUAGCUGAGCUGAACGAAGAAUUUAGUCUCGCGGAGAGCCAGCCCCAAUUAGCAUUUUGGUAUGUGCUCUUGCAGGCUUAUUUUCUGCACAUUUGCCCUGCAGUUGUCACAUUGGUGAUGAACGUGGAUGCAGGAGGCAGAAAACCCUGGCUGCCAGUUUGGGGGCAGUUCACUUCCCAACUGUGUGACCUUGGGCAAAUUAAUCUAUCUGUGAAAUGGUGAUGUAGUAGAUUGUAUUUUGUAAGGAAUGUGAGUCUUAAAGGAGAUGGAUGCAUGUAAACUCUUAGCAAAAGACCUCACACACAGUGCAUGCUCAAUAUGAUGCUUAUUUAGAGCAUACGUGUCUCAUUAAUUAUAAGAAUGGGACUCCCUCCAGAGCCUUGAGGUUGUUAGCAGAUGACCACAGAAAGUUUCUACACAUUGCCCAUUCAUUGGAAAUUCUGUUGCCACCAAAGAAAGCCCACCCCAGUGUUACCGUGAUGCAUUUUAAUGGUAAACACCAUCAUUUUGCUACACAGUAAUUAGGCACGAAUGGCAAACAGUUCACAUCAGUGAUUAUAAUUAAUUAGUACUGCUUUUAAAUAUCUUUUCUGCCAAACCCAAGCUCAUCUUUUUCUUUCCUCCUGUGGUUCUCUAGUGUCAGUGAUGAGUGUCAUGCUGUCUCUGUGGCCAUGUUACUUGUGGGCAGGCAUGGUGGUUUCUACCCUCCAUCCUACUCUCCAUGAUAGUGGGGUCCCAGGUAUGCUAGUGACUCAGCACAGCUGCCUCUCUGAUUCGCUCAUGGAGAGUCUUUGCCUGAUCCAUACAUCCCUAAAAGUGAUGACUUUCCUUCAUUCAUUUUCCUGCUUCCUGCUCUUUGCCUCUUUAUCUUCCCACGUAGGACACUCCAGAGCUGCACUGAACAGAUUCCAUCUGUCUGUCUGCUUCUCAAAGCCACAGGUCUCAGAACAUCCACCUACCCCUUGUCCCUAGACUUAGCUCCUGUUUACCCAAGAGUAGCUGCACUGUGCUCUGCUGGGGAGGCGGAGGAAGUGGGGCAAGGCUAUGGUGGUGGUUGGGCAGAGGAUCAGAGUACACAGAGGCAAAGGAGCCUUUGUUGUUUGGAGGUCCUGCCCCCUCUUCCUCUUGAAUUUGGCCCAGAUCCUGAUUUUAGAGCAUGGAGAAGGGGCUGCCAAGAGCCACAAACAAACAGGAGCCCCAUUUGCUCAGCCUUUGCAAAGCCUUUAACUGGAGACCAUGCCCUUUUGUUCCACUAUUAGAUUCUUUUCUUUUCUUUUCUUUUCUUUUCUUUUCUUUUCUUUUCUUUUCUUUUCUUUUCUUUUCUUUUCUUUUCUACCUGUCUGACUGAAUACUGCUAAAAACCCUCACGAGGGGCCCUUUGGGCUAUUACAUGGGAAGCCAGUUUUAUGGCUAUGACAUGUAGACAGUAGACCCAGAGACCAUGACACUCUUCUUACAGUAUCUUAUUAGUCUAGGCCAAGUACAGCAAGCUGUCCAACUGUAUGGGACAGAGUUGGGCCAGUUCCUGGACUACCCACUAUUAGAUUUAAAUGGGCAUGGUUGCUGAAACUCAUUCAAUAUCAAGUGGUAACUCACAGUUGCUCCUUUCCAUUUUGCCUAACUGGAGGGUAGUAAGUUGGAACACCCAGCAGAAGUGUCACCACGCAGCUGGGGGAAGAUCAAUCCCAACCAGUCACUUUUGGCUGGCCUAGGUGUGUAUGUCAUGUAUUCAGUGGGUCAAAGAUGGAGUUAACUCUUGAGUACCUGCACUCAUCUUUUCUUGAGCUUACAGGUAGAGGUAGUCACGGGGCAGGAGGCCUGGCACAACCUUGUGUGGCAAGGUGGCCCGUCCUUGCAAAAACCAUGCUUCUGGGUUGCUGAGGGGUCAGAGGCACCCGGGUCUCCAAGUUCAAGUCUGCCUGACAUGGGAAGACUGAGAUGCCAGCAGGUCCCUGCCAUCCCUUGUCAGGCCCCAGUCAUCCCUUCUUCCUUCUCUGACCUUCGUCCUUCUACAGGAGCUGGUCGGGGAGGAAGAAGGAUGGGACCACUGGUCAAAGUGAGCCCCAUUCCAGCUCUGUCGCUGAUUUAUCUGAUUCGUUGUGUAGGUCACGAGAGAUCCUGCUCAGUGCUCCCCAGCAGGUGGUAUCCCGCUCACCUGGUAAAUCUGCCAGAUAACUCUGUCCAUGUGAGUCUUCCCUGGAGCAGCCCUAGCCUACAGAUGUGGCUCACUGUGUCCCCUUGCAGCAGGAAGCGUUGCCAGGAUCCGUGCCUUUCUCCUUCAAUGUGCCCAGCCUGUAAUUUUAACUAUUAAUCACAGUGAGUUGUGUUGCACUUCAUAACUCUUCCAUUAAAUAUUAAGCCUUAAAAAAUUGAGCUUUCUUAAUUGAAUUAUUGAAUUACUAGGCACUUAAUAUGGCUCUGGUGGUUGUAAAUCACAGAAUUUCAGCCUCAGACGCGGUCUUGCUUUCCUUACCCAUGAUGUGGAAGGUUUGUGAGGCCUGGAGGAUCCCCAAGGGUUGCUCAAGGUCAGACUGAGGCUGAGACCCCAACAGUGCCUUGCCUGGGCACGGAGGCACUGCACCCUGUGGGAGUCUCAGGUCCCACAUUGGAGAAGGGUUAGGAAACAGUCAUCCCCAGGCAUUGUGAGGGGCUGCUCCUCUCUGGAGUCAUCAGACUAUCCUUGGGCCCUGCCCUUACCCUGGCCCCAUGAGAAAUGCUCCUCUUUAGAACCCCGUUGUGCUCGUGACCUUGGCCUCUAUCGCUCUUCCUCCACUUUGCCUCUGCAGCCAGGCCUGACCCCCACUCCCCUGCCUGGUGAGUGUCCCUGGGUCUCUUCUCCCCACCCUCUGCACAGUGAUGUCACUAACUCCAGUCUGCUGUCCCAUUGCAUUUGUGUCUGGGAGAGCAGUGGCAUUACUGAUGGCUUUUCCUGACUCACUCCUGGAGCCUGGUGUUAUCUGCUAAGCACCUCCUGUGUUUGCCUGUUGUCUCUCUCCUGCUUGGUGUCCCCAACCCAAGCCAGCCUGAGCCAUCACUGCCCCCCAAGAUGACCCCCCGUCAUGCUUUCUCCCACUCUUUCUCCCACUCAUCGUUGUGCACCCUCUGCACUCUCCAUCUGACACACCUGCCUCGAACUCAGCUGCUUACUCUGGACAGGACUAUGCUGCCCAACUUGGAGUGGCUGUCCGCUUCCUGCCACAGAAAAUCUACAAUCCCUUAAGCUCUGGGCAUGUUGACGGCCCCUUCUGAUGUGGUGGACACCAUGAUGAAUCUUGCCACCUCUUUAUAUUUUUUAAAUUUUAUUUUAUUUUUGCCACCUCUUUUGAGGGAAAAAAUUUGAGCUCUGUGAUGAAAUAAUGCUUUGAAAAGGGAUGCACACCAUGCAGGGAACGUUGCUGAGAUUACUCAUUGCUGGUGGGUGCUAUGGGUUAGAUGGGGGACUCCCCCCAUUCAUGUCCACCUGGAACUUCAGAACAUGACUUUAUUUGGAAACCCAUUCUUUGCAGACAUAAUUAGUUAAUGUAAGGUUGUCUUGGAUUAGGCCAGGCCCUGCAUAGUGGUUGGUAGGUUUAUGAGAGACGGAAAUUUGCUCCUUGAGAACAUACAGGGCAGGGGAAAGGUUGAGUCAGAGAUGGACAGGGAUGAUGCUCCAUAAGACAGGUGACAGCCAGAAGUGCUAGCAGUCACCAGAAGGCAGCAGAGAGGUAGGGAACAGCUUUUCCCUAAAAAUUGCUGAAUGAACCAACCCAGCCCACAUCGCAGUUUCAGAGUAGCCAGGAGUGAGGCAUAGGCUCCUGGGAUUACUGGCCUGUGUUACAGCAGCACUGGGAAACCAUUGGAGUGGGAAAACUGUGUUUCAAACCCAGGUCCCCGAAUUCUAAGUCCAGAAACCUCUUCUGUGUAUAAGUCUUCCUACCCUGCCUUUCCUCAUCGAUCUCGCCAACCUAGGCCCUCUCCGAGUGUUGAUUUUCCAGCAUCCUUCAGAGCCAGCUAACCCCAAAGAAGCACUUGUUGUGUGUUGCAUUCUGUAGGGCUCAGCCUUGGCUUCUACUACCGUAUCUCUGGGUAUCCUUCCUUUUCCUCUCCUUCUCUUCCUUUUUAUAGUGAUAUAAGUUUUUUGAAUUAAAAAAAUCAGGGUGGCAGUGACAUGAUGUUUAAAUUUUUAAAAUGUAUUUAUAAUUGACAAAUAAUUGUAUCUAUCUGUUUGUGGGACGCAGUGACAAUGUCUCACAGGUACGCGUGGAGCAAGUCAGGCUAACGUACCCAUCACUUCACGUACUUCUCUUUGCAGUGAGAACCUUAAAAAUCUUCUCCUUCAGCAAUGUUGGAAUAGACAGUUCGGUGUGAUUCAGUGAGGUUACCGUGAUCUGUGGUAAGAACUUACUCUUCCUGUCUAACUUGAACUUUAUGCUCUUUGACCCACGUCUCUCCCUUCCCCAACAUCAACCGUUAGCGUUGGCUCUGGAAACCGUGAUUCUACUUUCUUUCCUUCUCUUUGUUUUUCAGUGUUGAGCUAGGAUCUCACCCUAAUCCAGGCUGGCCUUGAACUUGCAGCAAUCCUCCUGCCUCAGCCUCUGAAGUACAGGUGCACUACCAUAACCAGCUAUGAUUCUACUCUAUAUUUCUCUGAGUUUUCCUUUUUUUUCAUUCCACAUGUAAAUAGAAUCAUAGUGUAUGUCUCCUGUACAUUCCUAUGGGGUGGUCAAGAGGGGUUAGAGGGAGUAGCAGUGUAAAGGGUCUGUGGCAGGGUGGAAUUUGAUGAUUUAAGGACCUACAAGAGAGGUGUGAUGUCACUGGGAAGAGCAGAGAUCCAGACUGGUUGUGUGUCUUGUGAGAGAAGCGGAAGUUUGAAUUUUGUUCUAAGUGCCACAGGAAGCCUACGAGUGGGUUUAAGCAGACCAUGGACAAGAUCAUUGUUUUUAGAGGUCACUUGAUCUGUUCUGUGAACUGGAUAAGGGGGAUCCACGGCCAGAGGUGAUUUGGUCUUGAUGUCCCCUGCUGAGUCCUUGCGCCAGACAUCUCUAAUCUACUGUCCUCCUCCCCCAGCUCCUCUGACACUUAAAGUCAGUAGUGUUCACUCACCACUUAACUAAUCAUUUCUGUACAUUCUUGGGGCCUCCCAGCCAGGCAGAACCCAGGGCAACUGUUUCACAUGAGGCUCUUUUGGAAGAUCCUGAGGUCCUUGGUAAUGGCUUUUCACCUGGGACCAGGUGAUGGAUUCACUUCACGUGGAACUCUCUGAGAGGUAGGAGCCGAGUUCCUUCCUGGUGGAAAGGUCUUUGACUGUCCAGGAAUUUGAUGACUAAUUUGUGGCCUGAAGAGACUCGGGCUAUUGACUGUCCUUGUCCCCAUGGGAGACUGUGGCUGUGUGAUGCCAUCCGGCCUUGAGAAUGGAUCAGAGCCACGUCUGCUGAACUAUGAGGCCCACAGCUUCUCCCCUGCACUGCGGAGCUACCAGUUUAGCUCAAGGAAUGAACACAUUCUUAAAAACUCAUAUCUUAUAACAAAGCAGUUCAAACAGGCAUGGUUCCUAAUGGACUGUGGAAGCUGGUGUCGCCAUAGGGUGCAGUGGUUAAAAGCUUUGCAGUGAGAUAAACUUGGAAUGGGGGGGGGGGCUGGACAAGUGACUUGACUUCAGUGAGUCUCUAUAUGCUGAUCUGAAAGACAGAAAAACAAUGAAGUAAAUCUUUAUGGGAUACAGUGCCAGUUUAAUGAAAGAACUCAAGACAGGAUGAGUGGAGGACAUGGUGCGUUAGAAUUGGGGGCAGAUGGGCUGGGAAUUUAGCUCAGCGGCAUAAGCGCCUGCCUUACAAGCAGGCAGUUGUGAGUUCAAUCCCCAGUACUGAUAGAAAAAAACAAAAAGAAUUGGGUGCAGAUAAUAGAGGAAGAAAGAAUGUUCAUACAUUUCUGGGGAAAACUGUUAUACUUGUGUUCUGGGUAUUGAGUUCUCUGAGAAGUUGUAGAAAAAACAAAACCAGACCCUGACACCCAGCUGGGUGGAUGAAAAGAGAGAGUUUGUGUUAGGGCCAGACUCUGUGAAGAUAGGCGUUGGCAGGCAUGGGAAUGGAAGCUGAGAGAGUGAAGAGUUGGGGGCAAGGUUUCCUGGGGGCUGGGCAGCCCAUCCUGACGGGGUUGAGGCAGGGCAAAGAAAGUGUGCGAAAGUGGUAAGUUGAGUCCUGCUUGGAACUGGAAGAUGACUGAUUGCCAUAAACAUUCCAGUAAAACCACUCCUCUGACUGUGACAGUAGUGAAUCGUAAAAUCAUAAAAGUUUUAGAAUGGGAAGGACAAGGAAAGCAUCUAGUCCUGCCCAAGGUCAGAUGGGGUUGUUGUGCAGGGAGAGAUGAACUCUGAGAGUGCUCAAGCUCUAGCAAAAAACAUUUCCCCCACCCUUCCUGCCCCUAGUCAUGGGUGGACUCCAGGAACUUGCCUCUCCCCAGCCAAGAGAUGUUUGACAUGGGACUCAAGGACAUUUGGAGACAUACAGCCCAGAGCCUGGCGUGUGUGUGGUUGAUGAAUCCCCGAGGUUGAACUGAGGCAUUUGUGUGGCAGGCACAUUGUCUAACGAAUGUCCACAGAAAUUCUUCCCGUCUGUCCGAUGGGGAUGGAGUUUAGGAUUGCUUAAGAAUGCUUUUAUCAAUUGUGAUGCCUACUUUUGGGUGGUAACCUAAUUCAUGGUAUUUCCCACUCAUUUCUUCAACUCUUUCUUUUAUCAUGUUGUAGGUAUUUCUGUAUGACAACUCCAAUUCCUUUUGGAACAAAAUGAGGUGGCGAUAAAUGAAGUCACUUGGCAUUUGCUCCCAGGUCAUCUGACUCCAUAAACCAGACCUGUUUGAUGCCAGGAAAGGAACCUGGGUCAGAUUGAACUUGAAUUCCAGCUCAGGGAGGGGCUGGACAGUGAGCCUGCUGCUCCUGGGCCCAUGGCACAGCAGUAGAGUGGACUGGGAGUGAAUCUGGAGACGUGAGCCAAAGCCUGGAGAGAGGAGGGCAGAAUGUUUUCAGUGGGUGGCCUGGUGGAGGAUUCGUGGUUCACUCGGCAAGACUUUGCCUGAAACUUUCUUCUUUGGCUCUGUCUUUUCUUUUGUAUGGAGUAGGGAUACAUUUUUCUAGCUUGUUGCCCAAAUGAAAAUAAGGGAAAGGAAAAAGAAAAGAAGGGAAAGGUAUGAGGAACAGAAAAACAGAACAUUGCAAGUUUUUGUAUUGUGUUCUCUCCAUUGCAGUGUGGAUCAAAUGAUUCCCAAAGAGGCCUAACCAAAAAAUCAGUUAGUAUCCUGUUCCUAGUAGCCGCAUUAGAGUGGUUCUUUCUUCUGAUUAAUCAGUAAGAGUUCAGAGUGCUCAGUACUGUGGAAAAGAAUACAGCCAUGGUAUGGGCCCCCUUGGGCCUAAGAUAUGGAGGAGACUGACAUUAGACAGACACACAAACCCAUGCACAUGUGUAAUAGUGUAGAUGAGUGCUUUGAAGGGAAAGCACAGUGUGUUCCGUGAGAGAGGACAUCGUUGUAACAGGGUGUUCACUCUUUGCUGCAGCCUGUACCUCCCCACGUUUUCUGUGGCUGAAGUGGGUUGAGACAGGUGGUUUGCCUGGCUCUGGGCACCUGUGCAGUGGUGUGCUGAGGAGAGGCGGACGUGGCGAGGCAGGGUGGCUCUUCUGCAGUCUUUCCCUUCCCCGCUGGGCCAGCUGUCCCAAACGGCUGGGUCCCAGGGCAACCCUCCCAGGGUUCAGUAACGGGUACCAUUUCUCAGAAGGAGCUGGCCACAGAGAUAAGACCACGGUGACAAGGAGGCCAUAAAUUGUUACCUGGGCUCUUUGGGUACCCCCUCUUCCGCUGUCCCCUCCUUCCUGAGCUGUGGGCUUGGAUUUAGCAACAGGGUUUCUGUGCAUGGGAUGGAGCAGAGAGCUGACUUUCCUGGUGGCUGGGCAUAAUCAGUGAGAUGCAGAGCACUGAUAGUGAGAAUCAAUUUAAUUUCUGUUGCUCGGUGACAAGGAGGGGGAGGGACAGGAAGGUCAGGACUGUUUUGUAAGCCACUGUUCGGUUAAGGAAGCAAAACACUCCCUCUAAGGAAUAUUUUAAAAUAUAGUAUUUUAGGGGUGAAAAAGAAGGAAGCGGGCUGAAGUGAGGGUUUAAUCAGAAAAGUGGGAAGAUGCCAUGGACAUCCAUGUUGGAUCUGGUGCCUGGACCUGAGAGUUUAGCUUCCCUGUUAAAAGGAACUGCAUUGUGCAUCUGUACAUUUGAUUCCUUUGAGACUUGAAGGAGCAGACACCUGGUUAGGUGUCACCUUUGUGAGACUUGAACUGAGGUGCAGUUCUCUGUCCCAUUGAUUGGGUGGUGCUUGGAGUCUCAGCUGCAGGCAGUGUUUGGUGGCUCUGAUCAAACUGGGAAACUUUACAGGGUUGGAGGCUGACAAGGGUUUAUAAAUCUGGAUGGGGACCUGCGUUUCCUCCUGCAUUGUGGCAUUUGCUAAUCAAAUUGUAGUCUUGCGUGACACAAAGGUCCCAGGGGAUCCUGCAGAAAAAAACCUUCUUGGUUGGGGAUAGAGACUGGAUGUUUUUUGGGGGAAAGGGGUGGACCAUCCACGCUUUCUUUGCCAGUGCCACAGACUCCUAUCUAAAGGUGACUUUCAUUCAGCAUUCGAGGGUGGGUAUUGCAGGUCCUGUGCCACAACUGCAAGAGGGAUUGGCCUGGAGGAGCUAGCUCACUGCCCAAGGGACUUCAGACUUGGGGCCAUUUCCUAAGGGUCACUUGUGUAUUUCUUACCAGUGAGCAAAUACAUUCAGCAUUUUUCUGGGAUGGCCUGAAGUCUUAGGUUAGUGUGUAAGGCCAGAGAGGGGUAGAACUGAUGAAGAAUUGGAAGUUUUUAACCCAGUGUUGAAGAGCCCCCCGGCACAUCAUGACAGUCAUAUAUUAUUGGUGUCAUAAGCGUGGCUGAAUGAAGAUAACUGCAGAUAACUGCGGCUGUCAGAACUACGUGACAAAUGUGUGUCUGUGAUUUUGGGGGUGAGGAGGAGGUGGGGGUCCUCUGGCUGAGAUUCAAGGCAAUCAGGGCCUCCUUGCCUACAGCUUGUGGGUGGACAGGGUGAGCUGUCUGCUCUGUUUGGGCUCCCCAGAAGCAGGUGGUCAUUUCACUCUAGGUCACCUUGGAUGUUCUUGUCCUAGAAGCCAUGUAGAGUAGCUUGAACUGUGAAUGGACUGGGUGGGGGUUCAUUCUGAAAUGGGCUGAAGACGUAGUGAUGCCCUGUUCCCUACUAACAAGGGCAGAGAAGUUAACAGGGAGACCUCUGUUACCGGGGACAUAUGAGCUGUGCCCCUCACUCCUUCCUGAAGAGCUUUGUGUUUGUCAUCCUGUGACUCGGAGACCCCUUUGGCCCUUGUAUCUGUGGGCUUAGCAGCAAUCUGAUCGAUUAGUCCUACAGACAUCCUGGGUUUUGGUCUACAUGUGUAUGCCUGCCCUUAGCCUGGCUGAGUCAGUGAGGGGUUCUCCAUUGAGCGUCUAGGGUUAGGAUGGAGGAGGCAGGACUCAUACCACUGCCGGAGGCUCGGGAGCUUUGCCGAAGAGCUAAUCAUCUUAAAAAUGAGCAGGGCUCUUUAUAAUUUGGCAGGCUGCCCUGGGCCGUGAGUGAAUGGCUGUGGGCGGGCACACACAUUCUGUGUACAGAGGCCCAGGGUGUGUUUGGUUGGUAGUGUGUCUUGUACUGUUGGUGUGGGUGUACUGUCCGAGGGUCAGGUAUGAGGAGAAGAAUGUGCAGACUUUGUCCUAGUCAUCUUGUCCCCUAAGAGGCCACAGCUGCCUUCAUUUGUACCUGGAGAAUAGGUCUCUUUGAUGUCUAUAGAGCUGUCUGAGAGUGGACCUGGACUAUCUCGUUUUACUGCUUUGGAAGCCAAAGCCCAGUAAGGCAUAGGACUCAGAGCUCUCCUUGGAUCUUGGACCAUUUCUGGUGGGCAAGAACUGCUGCUCUGGCUAGCUUAUUCCUGUCAACACUGCCCCCUGCUGUCCCUUGGGGCUGUGGAUACCUGGCUGUCCUGGAGGCCCCUGUUUUCAGCAGUGGGGCCCUUUUGUAGGAGGCAGUGAUGCUGGUAACCCAUGGAUGUGAGGUUGAGCUUUUAUUCUUCAUUUCCAUUGAUGAGGAUGGCUUUGCAGAAACACCUACAUCCUUGCCUGGGUUGGUGACUCACAGGGACAAGAUGGCUGAGCAGGGAGAGGGCUGUAUGCUGUCCAAGGGCCACAACUGACUCUUAAUCCAUUUGGUGCUAGUUUCCAACCCUGAGGUUCCCAACUAGAAAGCAGGGCAAGGACUGACCACUUCCCUCCUUGGCUGUGCUGGGGUCAAACGUGCAAGGUGUCUGACAGCCUCCUCCGGAAGGUUCCUGUACCAUGCACUGCUGCUCGGGUCCUCCCUGCCCUGCAGCCUGAGCUAGGAUGGCUUGGUUUAACUGGCAGGCUGUUGAUCUUGUAGAGAAGUCAGCAGGUAUCAUCAGUGCAGAGACAGACCUGCAGUCCCACAGGACUGGGCUUGAAUCUCAACCUCAACGCCCCUCAGUUCUGUAAGUUUAUGAAUUCCUGGGAGCUGCUUCAGGAAAGGGAACCCUGGGAGACCCACGUCCUCCAUGCAGCCAGUACAGGAGGUGCAUCCAUUGCGGUUGCUUUCUUUUCCUUUUUUCUCUUUGGCUUAUUCUAUUCUUCCUUUCUUCCUCCUCUUCUGAGGGGCAUUGUGUUGACUUAUCCGGUGUGAAGCAUACUUAACCUGUUACCCAGCCGCAGUAUUGACUGGUUUAGGUAAAGGUGGCUCCCUCAGGGGCUUCUUUCAUUAUUUCACUGUGGUAGCUUCAGGAGAGGGUGCCAGGGAGGCAAGAUCCAGGUGAGGCAUCCCCUCCGCUCCCCGAGUACCCUCUCCCUUGAAGUCCUCAGAAGGUUAAACUGGGCGCCAUGUUGAGUUGUGGCCUUGUGUAUCAGCAUAGGAAAUUCUGAUAAAACUUCAAGGGACAUCUCCCAUCUUAGUUUUCAAGCAUGAAUAACUCUGUCCCCUAAUGUAGAGUUGCUCUAACUUAGGGUUUCCUUAAACAGCGUGAGAUUGGUUCACUGACUUCCAGAAUUUUCUGCGUCCUAACUAGUCAGCCAUCUCUCCUCCCCUUCCCUCUGGGAGAAAUGAUGUUUUGUUCAGCUGGUUUCCAGUGAGUUUCUUAUGGGAAACAGCCCAUAUAACUCUAGGUUCUGUUGCCCCAGAGGAGAUGGGGUGAACAUAAGAGCGACCCUGGGAAGGUCUUGAGUGCAGCAGGGUGGGGGAGGGAAGAUACUGGCCCAGGCUGUAUUUCCCUUCCUUUCUUCCUGGCAGAUGUCUAGAAUGGCAUCUCCUGCUGGCAUUCAGGAGGGUCUGGGAUAUGUCUGUCAGAGAGCGCUGGAAAUUUGAUGCCCUGAGGAAGGAGAGGGAAUGCUUAUAGAAAUCACCCUCAUCAAAACUUGGGAGUGAGGAAAGGUGGUAAUGAGGGAGACUCAUUCUUUCUUAAACCAUCCUCAGAGAGCUUUCCCCAGCUCUUGGGAAAUGGGGAACCUGAGGGCUCCAAGCUUCGGAGCUUUCGGGAUAGCUUGGCACCUCUCGUAGGCCUGGCUGAGGAAGCCUCGGGCCUUGCCUGAUGGCAGCUAAGUGCCCUCCCCAGUGGGAAAAGUACCCCAAGCUUGAGGCUGGGGCUUAUGCUGGGCUGUGAAGGGCCUGUGGCUUUGGCCACGGUGAGGUGUGGGCACACAUUUGAGCCCUUUCUUCCUGACUUCUCCCUGUUCUUCCUGGCGCCUCUCACCCUUUACCACCCUGGGGGUUCUACAGGGCCUUGCCACCUCUCCAUCUCGGCUGGUGCCACGUGUUGUGUCCUGUGGCAGCAGCUGUUGGUGCUGACUAAUGAGGCUUCCUGGCAGCUGCAGUGACACACAUGGCUCUGGCAGAAACUGCCUCUCCUCAGCUGCCACUCCUGCCCCAGCCACCCGACAGGGGCCCGGGGAAGGUGAGUGAGCUGAGCUACAGUGGGAGGCAGAAAGCACUAACUGUUAGCAACUCUGGAGCCACAGGACAGUUAGAAGAGCCAAGCUCCAUUCUGCAUAAGAACUUGCUGCCCAUCAUGGGUACCUGAGGUCAAAGAACAAGAUAGGAACUUCUGGACCAGGCUGUUCUACCUGGUGAGGGAGGCUUGCUAUGGGGCCAGUCUAGCUAGGGCCUGAGGCUGGACUCUGUCACUCCCUGGUUAUGUGUCCUUGAGCAAACUGUGUGACCUCCUUUAGAAGUAAAUGGCAGAAGCAGUGUCCCUGUCCUGUGGUUUGCUGCGAGGAUAGGAUGAGAGCCCAGGUAACAUGCCUUGUAUAGUGAACCUCAGCCAGAGCCACUUUGCUUCCUUCAUCUUGAAAAACUGGGUGGACACCCCUUUCCCCCAUAAAUCCAGUGGUGUUUGUAACUGGUUACCCCAGUGAUGUUCACUUAGCCUGGGUAGGAUGAGCAGAGGGCAGAGCCAGGAGAGGAGUGAGAGCCUCAGUGCUUGCUGAUCCCCAUCUCUUCCUCCUUUCCCAAGGAUUCUGCUUUCAGGUCUGAGAAGAAAUCGAGGGGUCUUUGAGGGCUAAGCAUUUACCAUGGCCCAGAUGACCCUCCAGAGACAAGUGGCCUUUGCCUGACAGCCACAGCUGCUGACCACGAAGGGUCUGCAGAGUCUAUCCGGUAACUUUAGGAGGCAGAUUCUUUAUCCUCUCCAGGUGACAGACAAGAACACAAGGACUCACCUGGAGAGGUACACCUCCCCAAGUGACAUUUGCUGCAAAGCCAUGAGAUGGCCUAGAUCUUGUUGCUAGGUCCCCUGCUGCUGCGACUGGGAACUUUGUCCCUGGAAGAGCAGGAAUCUUGAUUCUGAUUUCCUGAAGGCCUUGUGGCCUGGCUUCCCUCCGCAUGCCACCUCUGGACAGACAGGCAUUGAGUGCCGUCCAGGCAGAAACGAGGCCCCUAAAGUGGUAGGAAGCCUAGCAGGGGUCAGUCCCCUUGGUGGCUGCUGCUGUCCUUUCCAAGCACUAGCUCUUCAGGGUUCAGAUAAUAGGGUUUUGUGCUCAGGUCCUUCCACAGGACUUAAUCAGGAGGACCCAUCUCAGCUCCUGACCCUCACAGGGUGGGGAGUCCUUGUGAGGAUGUCUAGGGGUCACCUCCUACAAAUAAGUGGAGGUGUUGGCUCAGUGCAGUAGCUGAUGCCUGGUCCUUUUCAUCUUGAUUCCAUGAUGAGUGUUUUCCCCAGGAUGCCCCGAGUUCCAAAGAGAGAUUUUCUAGCUAAACCUGCCUGGCUCCAGAGGAGGUACCACAGACUUCCUGCUAAACACCCGAGGGCUAGGAAUGCCUUUGUGAAAUGUUUCAGAGAUGAUCCUAGAAAAGCCUCCUUCGGGUCACCAAACUGUGUGUUUGUGUCUCGGGAUGAAUUGUGUGAGGAAGAUAUUUGCUCCUGAAAUGAGAUAUUUUGUACAGUGCAUGCAGGCCUUUUAUGUGAUAGCGAAGGCAGAUGCUGAGCUGUCAGAAGCCAGGGUUUGAAGUUGAAAGUUGACUUUGCCCCCUGUAGUGACAAAGUUCUGUGUCAGUUUGAAUUUCAAUUUCCUAGGAUUUCCAUCUGUUUACAGUCCAACCCCUGCUCUCAGCACCUUUGGGUGUGCUUGUGGUUGUUGUUCUGUUGAUUGUUGUUUUGUUUGUGCUUGGGUGUUUAGGGGAGGGGUGGUUUGCGACAGGGCAAGGGGGCAUUUAACCAUUUAUUCUUUUUAGUAGCUUUAAUUGUGUAAAGAUUAUAAUGCAUACAAACGGCUGUAAUUAGAGGAGUUGGUUCUGUAAGACAGUGUUUCAGUGAAGAAAAUUACAGUGAUCAUAAGCUGUUUAAGGAAGAGGCAGCAUAUAUUAACAUGCAACUAGUUUUUGUUAUCUCACAAUGCACAUUUACUAGUGCUCCCCGGAAGUGUGUCCCCCAGUUCCAAAGUGUUCCUUGUCCUGAAGUGCUUCUCAGCUUCCUGCAGCAGCAGAGCCAGGCCCCUCAGCAGGAUGUGAGCUUUUCUCCAGCAGGCCCCCCACCUUGUCCUUUGACCAAGUGAGUCUCAUCCAUUCAUGAGACUGAUGGUGACGAGUCCUUACUCUGGGACCGGGGAUGAAACAGUAGCGCUGUGAGCGAAGGAAUCACUGUUAAAUGUCAUGUGAGUGAGACUCUAGUGAAUGAAGGCAAAGAGGAAAGAAAUGGAACCAAGAGGAAUGGGGUGGGAUUAGGAGUGAAGGUGUUAAACUAGGCAGAGCGGGCAUGUGACCACUCAAGGACAGGAGUUUCUAGGCCCGUGGCAUGGCUCUUGUGGCCUUAAAGACAAGAAUAAGCUUUGUGAGUUCAGGGAACAGAAGGAAAGGAGGUAGACCCAGAGCACAGCAGGGAGCAGGUGACAGAGCACAGUGGGAGAGGUGGUGGGGCCAGGUCAUGUGGGCUUUUCUAGGGGAUGAAGGGAUAUUCUGUCAUGGCUCCAGUGAUCCCCUGGGGGACUCUUCCAGAUGGUCUCAAUGUCAGAGGUGCCAAGCACGCAGCACGGGGCUUUUCUCUGGAGGCGAGCUUUUAGGCCCAGUGGUGGCCCUGCAGUAUUGACAGCCCAAGGGACAUCAAUUGGAGAAAAAAAGACUGUAAAGGACUUGGAUCAUGUGCUGUAGGGACACUGAUGUCUCUGGUUCCACUGGCAUAGCAAUGUGGCUCUGAAGGGCGUAUGGGUGUCUGAAGAAGCAGAUGGGAGUGGUACGAACUUCCUGGCAGAAGGAACCGCAUGGGCCAGAGGCUCAGUGUGCUAAGGGAGCAGCAUGUAAUCUAGUGUGGCGAGGAGUGGACACUUGGGCAGAAGGGCCCGGUCAGGCUGGGGUUGCCCUGAAGCCUUGCGCUUUAUUAUGUAGCUCUGCUAUCAGGUUGCCACAUAAAACAGAACCCAAACAUCCGCAUGCUCCAUCCACACACACUAGAGGCUGAAACUUCAACUCUGAAGCCAAGUUGUGGAUCCUCGUUUAAUUUUGAAUUUUAAAUCACCCUGCUCCGGAAGGAAGUGUCGUCUGAGGGUUAAGUGGACCAGUUGUGUAGGGCUAGAUCCCUGUGUAUCCCAAUCUGGCUCCUGGCUGGCCCACCAGUAAGGCCUGGCUGAUCCAGCUGCCUUGUCAAGCUCCUGGUCAGGUAAAUAUGUGACACAUAGCUGGACCCCUAGGUUGAGAGGCCAGUGUCCAGCAGCUCCUCUCCCUUCUCCGAGAAGGGGCUGUAGGGUGGGACCAGCAGUUCUCCAUGAUGGCAUUGCCCAGUGUCUGCGGUCCCAGUCCCUGUGCUGAGCCUUGGCCCUUGUCCUGCUCCCCAUCCCCUGCAACUGCUUCUGCUUGAAGCUGUCAUCUGAAAUAUCACCGAUGUGCCCCUCCUGGUGCGGGUGGGGCUGGGGCUUGUAGUGAGUGCUGAGGGCUCAGUUUAGAUUUCAGCUGAAGGGGAAUGGAGGUAAAGUUACUGCACACCAGGCAGUGAGCUUGUGUAGGCUGCUUCCUCCGCGGGCAGUGCCAGGGCACUCAGACCAUCCCACUCUCGUGGCCUUGCUGAAAGGCGAUUUGCUAGGAUGAAAUAAAGACAUCCCUAAUUGUGGUGUGGGAAAGUAAUCCCAAAUGCAUUAAUUUGCCCCAGCCCCGGGGUAUGUGAGAAAGAGCCUGCCUGACAUGUUUUUCUUUUCCAUUAACAUUUCUGUGAUAAACAGCUUAGAUGCAUAGAGAAAAAUUAAUGAAACUAUUGUAACAAUCACACACAUGUAGAUAAUUUAUUAAGGACAAUUAAAAAGCUUUAAAAAUCAUCCAUGAGGCAAAAUGAACAGGGAGCUGGAGUUUGGUAGGCUUUGGCAGGGAGCCUGCCUGAAGGUGUGCAGAGUGCGCUUCUUUCCGUUGUUCCCAUAGAACCAUAGGACUGUGGGAAGCAUAGAUUCGCACCGCCAGAGCUGUGAAUAGCAAACACUGCGUUCCGGCUCUUCGUUUCUUGAAGCCAGGGUGACAGGGAACAUGUGCAAGUCCUGCGGUCCAGGACCCAACUGGAAAGUGGCUCUGCUUGUUCUUCUAAGGGACACAAGUGUGCUUCUCCCAGGGUCUUACCUCUGGGAGUUUGUAGGCUAACAUCUGCAGUUUGGAUUUUUGUUGACUUUGCUCUGGGAGCCUCAAAACCAAGUGAGAAGCAAAAGAGGAACCUAGAUGGGUUAUGAAGGCAUUGCCGUGGUGUCAUUUGCCAUCUCCCAGCUUGGGACUAGGGCUGGCCUCUGUUUCCUCAAUUUCCUCAUUUGGAAAUGAGGUUAACAGUUAAGUGUGCGAGGAGGCCUGGAGGGAGAGGCUCACACAAGACUGUGCGUGCAAUGGCUUAGCUAGAUGUCUGGUGUGUAUGCCACUAGCGUUCAGUAAAUGUUUAAUAUUCAUUAUCAUCCUUAGAGAGCAUCAGCAUUGCCUUAGAUCUAGGAUUAAAACCCAGGUAUCUGGCUCCAGGCUGGCAUCCUUUUGGUGAUGUGCUGAAUCCCACUCCACGCAUGUCCCCCUCCCCAGCCCGGGCCCCUGCAAGGAUGCCAGCACAGCAUCCUGUGUGAAUGUGGGGAGGGGCACACCUGACUGCCAUGGUCACGGAGAGACUCCUUUUCGGAGAGAUGGAGGUGCGAUUCCUCGUCUUGGCUUCACCUAGCCCCAGCCCCUUUUCACCCUGUCCAGAGCUUGAGCAACAAGUCUUCCUUACCUUGGAAUUUUCUUCCUAUCUCUGGGACCUGGGAUUGAUAAGAUUUACUUUUUUAUUGGUUGGUCAUGCAAACAGCUUUUGACCUUGUGGACCAGAAGUUUCUCAAACAAGCACAUUUACUAAUGCGUAGCUGUGCUAGCUGGUAGUGUUAACUAUGCUCUGGAUAGCUGUUUUGGUUUCAUUCUGUUUUUCUCCAGACUGAAUUGUAGGCACAUACGUUAUGUGUCCAUUAUAGACGUAUACAUCUAUUUGCAGGAAGUAAUUUUUAGUUCUAACCAGAAAGGAAAAUGAAGUGUUUUAGCUCGUCAGACACGACAGAUUUUUUUCCCUUCGCGCGCUGCAAAUGAGCAGUGAAAAAUUACUCGCUUUUGCUAUUAAAAGCUAUAGAGCCUGUAAAAAAUAGUAAAUUAUAGAGACAUUAUCAAAGUUUAUAGGCACUCAAAUUUGACCUUCAGCAAAUUCAACAUUGGAGGAGAACAAGGUUUCCUUUUCAUCCUUCAAAACGAAAAAAAGAGAGGGAGAAAAAAGAUUGAUUUCAUUUCCUUCUGUAGCUAAGCGUCAACUAGAAAUGGCAUUCCCUAGCUUAGAAAAAGAGAAAACACAUUAAGUUGCCGAAAGUAGUGCAGGAAGUCAGUCUCCCUUGGAAAAAUUAUAAACCUUUAGAAAAAGGUGAUGGUCCCUUUGCAUAGUUUGGUGAAUAUUCAUACAGAGCUUUUUGUGUGCUGUUAUCUGUCUUCUGUAGACUCAGAAAAUAGUAUGUGGAAUCUUUUUUGCUUUUUACACUUUUCCAAAAUUGUUAAGAAGAGGGGCGGAUUUGAUGGACUAUCAUGGACUCAGAUUGGAUGGUGUGGUGGGUGACGGGGUAGCUCUACACCCUUGGGCUCUGCUUCCUUCCUUGUUGAUGAUCUAGAUGCAGCCUGAGGAGCUGGAAGAUGCAAGUCAGCGUCCAGAAGGAGUGAAGCGAUGGAGACUGAUGGAGUGCCAGUAAUGUAAACUCGUGCUCUCUUUGACUUUAAGUAGAUCUCGACACUGUUCCAGUGAAGACUGGAACUGUCCAUAGUGCGGUGUUGAGCGUGUGCCUGUGUGAACUCAUAGGCAUGCAUGUAGCUGCAUGUUUAAGAUAGAAGUUCCUCCGGGAAGCUUCUGUGGGAAAUCUAGAAAAAAUCCAGAAAUCAUGGCAGAUAAUCUAGUCAUGAAAUGCAUAAGUAAGAUUGUUAGCCAAACUAAGUCAGCAGGUAUGAGCUGUGAUGUUUGAGGAAGGUACCUUCUAAGAACCAGUUGUUAUUUCUGAAAACAGCAGGCUGGUCUGCUUUAGUGGGCUCCUGGAGUCUUCUGAAAGUAGUGCCCUUUGUCCCAUCUGUCCUGUGACAUUUCUGUAGCAUCAGGUGCCAGGCUAGGGCUGGGCAUCUCUGGUCAGGGGCCCUCUCCAUUCUUUUUCCAGGAGCAGAGGUUUUUGUGAGCUGUUGCUGGAUCUUCUUAGAGAGUCUCUGAUCUCAUUCCUGAUCAGUCCCUGAUCUCAUUCCUGCUUGCUGCUACCUCUGCUGGGAGACCAGCAGAGUCAUUGGCGUGGGGCUUAGCUGCUCUGAGAGUGAAAGUGGGGAGGAGAAGCUGUGGCUCUUUGGGACAACACUUAGAGGUCCAGGAAUCACAAGAGACAGGCUCAGCAGACCUGACCUGACUUCUCCCUCGCAGCCUUGUUCAGUGAGAAAUCUUUAAAAGUCUGCACAACAGCUGCCCAGCAAGGGCAGUUAGAGCCUUUCAGAAAGAGAGAAGAAAAUACAGGGCACAGUCUGUCACCUCUGUCAGCUGCUUUCUGGUUCUAGAAAUGAAGCUGUGAAAAGGAAGAGUAUAUUAGCUUUCCUGUUAUUGGAACAAAAUACUUGACACCAUAACUUAAAGGAGAAGAGAUUUAUUUUAGCUUACAGUUUCAGUUGGUUCAGUCCAUGGUAAGCUGAUUCGAAGGCAGAAACAGCAUGAUGAACAGGCAUAGUGGAAGAAAGGUGCAUACAUCAUGGAGGGCAAGAAGCAGAGAGAGAGAAAAGAGGAACCAGGAACAAGAAUGCCCCCUUCCAGAUCCCACUCCAGGUGACUCACCUCUUCUGACCAGGCCCCACUGUGAAUAACAAUCAUCUAUGAACUCAUAAAUGGACUAAUUCACUGGCGAGUAUUGUGCUCCCCAUCAGCCAGUCACCUUCCAGAAUUCCCACUUCUGAACAUGAGGCCUUCGAGGGGGCAUGCAUUUUAGAGCUAAAUCAUAAUAAAAAGUAUCACACACAAGAGUUAGCUGCUGGCUGCUUUCAUGACCAAUGUCCCCCAGCUGUCUGUCCCAGGAGUGGGCAGAGCUGACUUUGCCCUUGUUCAUCAGGCUCCAGUUAAAAGUACAGGAAGGGCCUUCAUCCCCAGGACCUUGUUCACAGUUCAGCCAGCUCCCCUAGGUACCCAGUAGGUGAUAAACCCAGCUGGUGUCUGGGGCAUAGGACUGGGGAUCCAGGCUGUCUUCACCAUGGCUCUCUGGGCCAUUUACCUGCACCUAUCUUUUCCAGAACAGGAAUAACUGGGACCCAUGUCUAUCCUCACAGAGGAGAAGCAACUUGCCUAGGACUAGAAGACAGAUCUUCUGCUGUCCCCUAGUGGUCUGUCCCUAUGGCAGGCUACAGACCCCUGAGCUAUCGAUUCACUUUUUUACAAUUGCAGUAGCCACUCAGUGCCUUCAGUGUGUCAGAUGCUGGCACAGUGCUUUUGUGCUUCCUCUGCCUGCUUCUCAUAACCUCCCAUGUUUUAUAGGUGAAGCCAGCAAAGGUUGAGGACCUGCCCUCAGAGACUCCAGGAUGCAGGGUCUAAUCUUGGAUAGGAGGGAGGUCCAGUUCAGAGAAACAAAAUCACCUGGGCUUAGGGCCUGGCCAAGGGCUCUGUCUGCUGUGGACUUGGGCCACUGUCGUACAGUACCACCUUGUAGAUUUUCAGAGCAUCUCUGACAGAUUGUGAGGCCUGCUGUGUCUCCUCUUGUCAUCUAGGUGAUGAGUCCCACAGGCCUUAUUUGUAAUAUGUGGGAUUGGGCUGAGGAUUUAGCUCAGUGGCAUAGCACCUGCCUGGCAAGCGUGAGGUCCUGAGUUCAAUUCCUGGUACCUCUCAAAAAUGGAUUGAGAUAUAAGCAAUAAACACAAAUGCAUAUUUGCCUUUGAAGAGUAUUUACCUUUGGACUAGGUGUAGUGGUGCACAACUGUAUUACACAGUGAUAUCCUGUCCUAAAACAAAAACAAACAAACAAGCAGCAUGUAUUUUAUGCCGAUGUACUUCGAUACUAGUUCAUUUAAUCAUCACAGCAAUCCUUGGGUAGGUACUACAGGGUUAUGUUGCCCAACUGUUGCCUGCCCGAGCUGAUAUCCAGAGGGAGUCCUAUCCACAGGGUGGAACCUCGGUAAAACAACAGCUCCUGGGGGGCUGGAUGACGAGGACUCUGUCCCCAGAGAACUGUGUGGAUCUUGCACACAUUUCUUCUGCUUGUGCAUUAUUGAACUGAAAGGACUGGGUUGUGAUAACACUCCAUGGUCCCAGUGACAGGAACUGUGGGUCAUCAGAUGUCCUGUUUCUGAGUGGUGAUGUACUGGUGUGCAGUGGCCAUAUGCUUCCAUUUCUUGGGCUUAAGGGCAGUUGUGAGCGGUUCCAGCCUGCCCUCCUCACAGCUGCCAAGGGCAUUCUAUUUUAGAUCUGCUUGGACUUAGGUCAGUGGCUUAUGACCUUGGCUUCGAAACAGAAGUUCUUCAUAGCCAGGUAGUGGGGAAGACCCUUGAACUCUUCACCAGGAUGAAGCUAGCAGAAGGAACUGGUCCAGUGUCGAUGUCGCUCCCGGCCGGCAGGAAAGACACACGACAAGGCCUCGCAAUCACCGCGUCUGAUGACUUGACAGUGCCACGGCUCCCAACAGUCCAGCUCUCUGGUUCCAGAGGCAGGGUGCUGGUGUGGCUCUGUCUGAGGUCACGCCGCAUAUCUCAUUCUGGCUGUGGCUGCUGCUGCUCCUGUGCAGGGAUGAGAAGACCUGGCUGGAACCUCACUGUUGCCAUGAUCUUGAAACUACUAGGUGACCUCUGAGCACCAGGAGCUCCCCAUCUGUCUUAUAAAUUCUCACAGCCCUUCAGGAGAUGUUUGGUGACUCCAGGUCCCCUCCUUAUGAUCCCCAUGUGAGCCUAUGCUGGUGGUGGGACUUCCUUUCCUUCUAGAGUACAGCCAGCUGUCAGUUGCAGCUCAUGUAUCAAAUGGUUGCUCUCUAUGGUAACUGCACAGAAGAUGGUUUUGUGGUCACCCCUAGAUGAUACAGAAACAACCCUGCCCCCCCCCCAACCCAACUCUCACACAGGGAGCCAGGGUCACAGUUGGACCUCUUGGCAGCCAUCCUAAGACUUGAAACGGGGGACUUGAAGCCAUUGCUUGUGAAUUUGCAUGUUUUCCUUUCUUUGCCUUGUGAAAACCGACUUCCUGCACAGCCGCUUGGUUUUAAACCCUAGGAAAGGGGGGCAGCUUUCUGCCCUUGUGCACUGUGCGCCUGGUUCACGGGACUGUUAUGAAUUAAAGAUUACAGCCGUUACAGAGACCAUCUGUAAACAAGGCCAGCUCCC